rnacentral:rRNA from 1 species
GACGAACGCUGGCGGCGUGCCUAACACAUGCAAGUCGAGCGAAGUGAGUACUACGGUACGAACUUAGCGGCGGACGGGUGAGUAACGCGUGGACAAUCUACCCUGUAGACUGGGAUAACACCUCGAAAGGGGUGCUAAUACCGGAUAAUGUCGAGAAGCGGCAUCGCUUUUCGAAGAAAGGAGAGAAUCCGCUAUAGGAGGAGUCCGCGUCCCAUUAGCUAGUUGGUGAGGGUAAUGGCCCACCAAGGCGACGAUGGGUAGCCGGCCUGAGAGGGUGAACGGCCACACUGGAACUGAGACACGGUCCAGACUCCUACGGGAGGCAGCAGUGGGGAAUAUUGUGCAAUGGGGGAAACCCUGACACAGCAACGCCGCGUGAGCGAAGAUGGCCUUCGGGUUGUAAAGCUCAAUAGUAUGGGAAGAUAAUGACGGUACCAUACGAAAGCCCCGGCUAACUACGUGCCAGCCGCCGCGGUAAUAC